GGUAUAUGACCUCCUUCGGGAAAUUAUAAAACCAAAUUUAAAGAACGAUCAUACUUUAUGUCCUAAGUUCGCAAAAACGUCUGGUGUUAUGUUAAGAUCAAAUGACAACUUUUGGAAGGAUCAUACGCACCGCUUCCGAUUUCAGCUACGUGAAGCUUGAGUCCUCUUACUUCCACAUGUUUGUGCUCGAUAUUUUCCAUUACUGAGACAGAUGGAGAGAGAGAGAGUAUGGACUCUUGAGUGAGAGGAGAAAAUUAAUCGAGAGAGAGAGAGAGGGAAUAUUAAGUAGUUAGAUGAUGAGCAUUGUUGGUCAACUGCUUCUUGUCUUCACGUUGACACUUAUCCGGACCUUUUUGUGAGGAUCUGUCGGCCAAUGCAUCUUGGCCGUUGAUGUAGAUCGGCGGCCAAAUUUUAUCUUUAUUUUUUUAACUUGCAACCUGCUCUGUCUCUUCUUCUCUCCCUUCUCCCGGAUGAAAAUUUGAAGUAACAGUCACAUAAAAUUAUGACUACACGAAGUGGGCAUGGGAAAAGUUUUCUUCAUUUAUUCCAGAAAUAAAAAUUUGGCAAUUGUCAUGAGGGAAGAACAAAACUUUAUUUCUUUAUAAAUUAAAAAGUAAAAAUUUGAGAGAACCAGAAACAAUUGGGCACAUUGGAUUGCACCAUCAAAUGGGAACUCAAAACGAGCAAGAGGUAGCAAUGGCGACGGCAGUGGGUGGUACAAUGGGAGGCACUAGUCGUAAAGUAGAAGCCGCUGGGUGGUAUAAAUUCGAGCCCCAACGAGCAUUUACAGGUGAGCACGGUCCGAUUUCAUCCUCAAAUUGGAAUAAAAAAAUAUCAAAGGUUUGGUUCGGUGCGGUUUUACUUAAAUUUAUUAUUAAAACCGUACGGUUUGGUUUACGCCGAUUCAGAUUCAGUUUAUGCCGGUUUACGAUUCUAACCAAACACAUAUUUCAACACAAAUUCAAGCAAAUUUGAGUUCUCACUACUAUAUUUACUAGAAUUGUGACCCGAAGAUAGAAAGUUUACAUAUAAAUAUAAAUCAAAAGAUAAAAAGCUUCCUAUGACCAAAGUGUACAUCCUGGAAUGAAAUUAAAAUGUACAUAAUGCAUAUAGAUAAAUGAGGAAAAUAAGAGAGGAGAGAGAGGGAUGAAAAUUGGAAUGUGAACUGCCGGCUAUGGUGGAAUGGAUGGGUUGAGGUAAUUAUUUUGGGCUUGAAAUUUUUUUAUAUAAAUUUUUCGUUUGGGCUUGGUAUUUAUAUAAAACAAGGGAUAAAGGCAUCUCUCCUUCCGCGAGAGCCCUUCUCUCCUUUUGUGAGAGUUUCCUCCCUUCCUUUUGGUGAGGGUCUUCAUCUUGCUCACCUUUUUUGGCGCCAACUAGACCUGGUAAUUUCUUACACAACACGUAAAUGACACGAAAAUAAUAGGUUUCGGAUCAACAUGAUAACUAAUUGGGUCACACGAUAAUAAUCCUUUAAUAACGGGUCUUUAACAGGUUUACACGAGAGUGACACACGGGUAACCUAUUUCGACACGAUAAGAAAAAAGUUAUUUUGAUGAUUUUAAUUUUUUUAAAACUACUAAAAAAAACUUACUAUAAAAUACAAUAGAUAUAAUGAAUAUGUAUAUAUUGUUCAUUAAUUAUUAUUCUAUAUAAAUUUUAAAAUUUAAGUUUUAUUUAUUUAUUUAUUUUUAUAAUAUAUUAUAGGCAAAGAUUCUGAUUAAAAAUCAUAAAACACAUUAAAAAUAAAAAUAUCACGUAAUUUAAAAAUACCAAACACAUUAAAAAAUUAUAAUAAUUCAUUUACAUGUGCAAAAAAUAUGAAAAAAUAUGCAAACGCUCGUAGUCACAUCCUCUACAUUUUAAGGAUGUGUAUAUGAUCGUUUGAAAUUUUAAAACCAUAAAAACUCUCAUGAAUAGUAUUUUUAAGGGAGUUCAAAAUAAACAAAAUUCAUAAUCAUUAAUGUAUAAGUCUGAAAGAUGUGAAAGCAUAAUUUACGUUCAUAAUUGCAUCCUCAACGCUUAAACGAUGGUUACAUGGUCGUUUAGAUUUUUAAAACUCUCCAAAUCUUAUGAAUAGUGUUUUUUAUUUGAGUGCAAAAUUAAUAAUAAUUAUUGUAGAAGUGUGAAAAAUGUAAUCACUCGUAAUGAAAAGCUUUACAACUUUCAUGAAGAGGUCAACUCCGAAAUUUAGUAUUAUGUUUUACAUUUUGUGGGGUCAAAUUAUGUUUUUCAUUUUCAUUUUUAUUGAUUUAAAAUAUUUUUUUUUAACUGGUAACGGGUUUGAUCAUAUUACCUGAUAAUAUUAACGGGUUGAUUUCGGGUUGAGUCAUAUUACCCGUUUACUUUAACAGGUAUUACACGACACGACUUGUUAAACAUCGGGUAUAAUAGGAAAACAACACGAACACGAGAAACACGACACAAAUGCGAGGUCUAGAGUCGACUCUGGCUUUGGCUGGAGUCGGUUGCCACUCUUCUCUUCCUCCUCCUGUUUUCUCCCCGUAUCCCCUUCUUUGCCUUGUCCUCUUUCUUAUGUUCUUCUUCUUCUUCUUUUCUUUUUGCUUCUCCCAAUGCUUCUUCCUUUUUUCCUGCUCUCCUUUUCCAAUCUGGCCAUUUCUUCCUACCCCCAGCGGCGUUCCUUCUUGCCCCUCUCUGCACCCACUUCCAAACCACGACUUGUUGUUGUUGUGAUAUUUCAAGAUGGUGAAUAGAGUUCUAGUGUUCCCACCGGCUCGGGUGUUCCACACCACCACUUUAUCAUUGUCUCUGCCUUUUCCGGCAGUGUUGUUCGCGGGUUGCCACGAACUUCAUCUUGAUAGUUGGCUUCUUCCAAUCACUUGCUAGCUAUCCUUUCUUUGUGGCUGUGCUCAGGACGUUAAUUGAUGUGCGAUGCUGCAAUUGAUAUGGCGAUGCUUGGCUGUGGACAAGGACUUGGUCGGAUCGAGAACAGCGGCGAAAGUAGUAGAAUUGUCUGGUGUCUGUAACCUCUUUUGUGUGUUUUGGGCUUCAACUACUGGUUGGCCAUUUGUAGUUUGUCUUUUUUGGCCCAUGUUUUGCUUGUUUAUGUGUGAUCUUUGGGCCUUGAGUUUCCUUUUGUGUAUCUUUUAGUUGUAAUAAAUGUGAAGAAGCCUUUUUCCAAAAAAAAAAAAAACAAGGGAUAAAGAAUUACAACAACAACAACAAAGCAUUUUCCCACUAAGUGGGGUCGGCUAUGUGAAUCUUAAAAAGCCAUUGCGCUCGGUUUAAAGGGAUAAAGAAUUAGAUUUUAAAAAAAAAUUAAUAGAGAUGCUCCGGUGCGGUUUCUUCGGUUCUUGAGAAUUAGAAACCAGAAUUGGAACCAUUUUAAACUAGUUCGGUUCAGUUUUGGUCCAAGUUUGAACGGUUUUGGUGAACUUGGUUUUUUAUGAUUUUUUUCAUCUAAUUCGGUUCGGUUUCACAGUUUCUCAAUUUUUAUGCCCACCCCUACAAGCAUCUAAAGGAUGUUCAUAAUUCAGAAGCACUAAAAAUAUAUAUAACAAUGUUUCUGCUUACCUUUCAAAUGUUAAUAUUUUUCAUUGAUGUGAAAUUGCAUACAAAGACAAGUACAGCAAGCAUACUACCAUGAACGAAUUUGAUUCCGAAAAAUCUAAUAGUUGUAGACCAUAAUACAAGUAUCCCAUUGUCAAACCUGUAAACUUAACAAAGAAUACAACUCAAACAUGUAAUGUGCUCCCUCUGGUAGCUAUUUUAUUCGGUUGCAAAGAACCAUCUAUACAAGCGCAAGGUUCUCUUUCGAAAUCUGCAUCCUGCAAAUUCAGACUCACAGUAGUUCCAUCAGUUAUGUGAACACUGCGAUGAAUUACGAAUGAUUAAUCUGUAUCCUUUUCCAAACCAGUUGAAGGAUGGUAAGAUGUGGAAGAUAUAUCUGUUCAUCGAAUGAGCUUUCCCGAACAAUCAUCCUUUCUGCACAAGGUGCUCGACAUCUCCUAGUUCCACUUGACCUCCUUUCUGAUCAUGUUCAGUUUGAAAAAGCGACUCAAUCUGCUCCAAUGACUUUCCUUUGGUUUCUGGAACACAGGUGUGGACAAAUACGACAGAAAGAGCAGCGACUGCAGAAAAGAUAAAGAAUGUUCCACCAAAUGAAAUUGCAUUGGAAACUGAGAGAAAAGACAUGGCAACCAGGCCACUGGACACCCUAUUACCCACUCCUCCGAGUGCUGCUGCUUGCGCACGCACCCUUAGAGGGAAGAUUUCAGAUGUCAAAACCCAGCAAACAGGUCCAAUUCCAACAGAGAAGAAGGCUACAUUUCCGCAUACGGAUAAAAUUGCCAUUGCAACGCCAAACUGUCCUUUCCCAAGAAAAGAGAGAGUAAAUCCUAAACUGAAUAAACAAAUCGUCAUUCCAAUCGUGCUGACAUAGAGCAAGGGCUUUCUUCCGAGCUUGUCUAUAAGAAGAAUAGCGACCAUUAUAAAAACAGUCUUUGUGACACCCACUGCAACAGUUGCAGCAAGUACAUUUUGUUUAUUUUUUAUUCCUGCUUCUUGGAAGAUUUCGGGGCUGUAGUACACAGUCGCAUCUAUUCCUGUUAUCUGUUGAAAACAUUGAAUUCCAAAACCUGUGAUAAGCAUCCGACGAAGUGAAGGAGAUGGAUUCAUUAGUUCACUCGUCACGCUUUUCUCCUCAUACUUCCCCGCACUAGAAUUGUCAGCGGCUGCUAGUAUUUCAUUUAGUCUGUCCUCCACCUCACUUUCUUUCUCAUUUGUUUUCAUCAACACUGAUCUUGCCUCGUCAACACGGUUCUGAAGGACCAACCACCUUGGAGACUCGGGGAUUACGAAAAGUGCAAAACCAAUGAAAAUUGAAGGCGUAAUUCCUACUGCAAGCAUUAUCCUCCAGUUUAUAUGUGCCGGAAGACCAGAAAAUGCAUAGUUUGAGACGUAGCCGAGUAAAAUUCCCAGAUUUAUAAAUAUUUCUGGGAAUGAGGUGAGUGAGCCUCUGUCAAUGGUGGGUGAUAUCUCAGCGAUAUAAACAGGGGCAAUCAUGACACCAAAGCCAAUUCCAACGCCCGCAAAGAGUCUUCCAAUCAUCAAUAUUUCAAAUGAAGGAGCAAGGGUCAUUGUAGCUGCACCUGCUUGAAAGACAACAGCAGCCAAGGCCAUGGUCCACUUCCUACCAAUGAUAUCUGAUGUUUUACCGCCGGCUAAACUACCGAAAAGCGAAACAAUGCUCAAAAUCCCAACAAGAACUUCUUCUUGUACCUCGGUUAUCUUUAAAUCUUCCUGAAUGAAUAUGAUAGCUCCACUCAUGACACCUACAUCUGCCGAUUCAAACAAAAAAUAUAAUUAAACACAUAUCUUCAGAAUCACCUUAUUCGAACAAUUUAAAAAUUAGGGUACUUGCGAACUGUUAUAAACAUCAUCAUUUUUGUUUACUAAUCUGUUGCAAGGAGGAGUUACAAGAUUGAUGAAGUUAGGAAGCGGUUGCCUUGUGGUGAAUGGAAACUUAUUAGACCCGAAAAUUUUAAUAGGGACUACCAGCAAAUAAAUCACAUAGCACUACCAGCAAGCUUAGGAAUUAUUCAUAAAAGGGAACAGUAGAUUCUUAAAGCAAUUAGGCACUACAGUUAACCAAACAAAGCAGAUCAUACAGAACGUACAUGCCAAUUAACAACGUCCACCGACAGCAGCAACUUCCUAUAACAAUACCAGACAGAGCUCACCUCUCUCCGCACAAGUUCGAAUUCUCCUCCCCGUAGUUUAGAUUAAGUAAUUAGAAUAUCGCUCGAAUAGAUAAACAAACACACAGAGCAGACAUUAUCGCACGCACGAACAGAUGUACAUACACAAAUACAUAAUUACAUACAAAAAUACACACAUUUCUAUAGAUACAUGUAUAGAUACACAUCCAUACAUAAAAGGUAAAGCAUGUAGUUACCAUAGCCAAGAAGAACAGAGUUGAGAGAGGCAAAAAUGGCGCAGGCGAGGACAUAUUUCCUGGUUUUUUUGCUCCUGAUUUGUUGAAGGUGGUGGCGAGAAGCACCAUCCUCGUUUUCCUCUGUGAGCUCGACCUCGGGCUCAGAAUCCAUCCUCUUGUACUUGUUCUUGGUUCCCAAUGGAAUCCCAGACAUACCCAUUUCUCCAUUUCCAAUUUCUGGAACACCCACCAAUCCCAUCUCGAUUUUCUUUCUGAAUCUCUCUGUUUCUGAACAGAAAACUCAACGAACAGAGCACAAGUCAGAUGUUUUUUGGGGGUUUGGUUUGGUUUGGUUUGGUUUCCGUUUGACUGCCCAAUACUUGGAGACUAGAGGAAGAGAUCCAUGGGAUUGGCUUGAGUUUUAGAUCUGAAACAAAAAUUAAUUAAUUAAUUUAUGAUAAAUAGAAAAAUAAAAAUUGAGACGCGGGCAAAGGUGGGACCUUUCUUUUUGCAAUGCAAGAAAGAAAACCCACUUGCGGCAAUUUUACAUGUGCGACCGAUUUACCGUCACAAGACCUCGACCUCUCACUUAAUCAGGCUCAGCUGCUCAAAUGGCGCUUUCCAGGUGACAGCUGUGCAGAUUGUCUGUAAAAUAUUAGAUAUUUUUGCGCUCUCAUUUCUAAUACAAUGUGGAAAGGGAUUUCUCGUUGUUUCGUUCAUUCUCAAAUAUACAACGUGUAGUGAGUAUGUAAAUUACAUAUAAUGAAAUUAAUCCAAACAAUGAAUCUAAUCUAGAAGAGCGAUCUCAUUAAUAUGGUCGUUGGUUCUCAUAAGAGCAAGUUGUAUAAAACAAUUUUACAAUCACCUGACAAUAUAUUAUUAGAUCAGAAUGUCACGUGGUGACGAAAUUAUAUAUUAAGUACUCGUGUCAUUGUUCUAAGGUUCUGUACAAGUCUCAUUUGUAUUAAAGCGAUGUUAUCCACACGUUUAUUUUUACAUCCCUCGAACUCUGUGAAUUUAUGUCAUUUGAUCUUUUUCAAUUCAUUCGAGUGAAAUUUGAGAAAAAUGUGUAAAUAGCACCACCUUUAUUUUAUAUUUUACCUCACGUGUUUGAAAUUAUUUAAUAUUUUGGUUUAAUAUUUCCCUUAUUUUGGGAAAGAAUAGUUAUGUGCUUGCAUGCAAGGUUGUGUUGAAAAAAAAAAAGAAGAAAAAAGGUUGCGCCCCAAAUAAAAUGGUAAGUUUGUCAAAGGACUAAUUGGAGGAGAAAAGUUUGUGGGAGAGGAGUCAAAUGGAGAAUGAGUCAAAAGUGAAGGUGCAAAGACAAUUCCUUUGUGUGGUCUCUCAUAAAUUGGAUCUUCCAAUUUUUUUUCUUUCUUUGUGACACAUCUAGAAGACAAGCACCACCAUAACAGACAAGACAACAUUCAUACCCAAUAAAAUGAAAAGACAAUGUAAUAUUCUUAGUUUGCACUAAUUAUUAAGUGGCUUAGUGGCAUGCACCUCUUUUGGGUAAAGAUUUCAUUUUCUUAUCCAACAAGUUAAAUUUAAUUUAAAACUUAUUACAAUUGAAAAUUUUACAAAACCAAAUACAAAGUCGAGAAUAUUAAUUAAUCAUCUGCCACCAUAUAAUCUACUAUCACCAAUUGAGGGAGAUUUUCAUUGAUUGGCGUAAACACGAGCCAACUAAUGCCCAACCAUGUUAGAACGUAUCAGAACUCUACAAAUACAAGUUUUGAAGAGAUAAAGGACCCCGAUCAAGUACGUAAAUUGUCACUCUAUAUUAUGUUCGAUUCUUAUCCAAGCACAAUGUAAUCCUAUCUAGAUUUUUUUUACGCAAUUACCUUCCCACUCUUGUAUUUCAUUUUUUCUUUGCAUUACACAAUUUCAAUUUACGCAUGGUAUUUUUAUUCUCUUGAUUCACGUACUCGCAUUACAAUCGUUUGAUUAGAAUCAAAGCCUAAACAAAAAUCACACAUAUCUUGUCUACGUCGCGGGUCGACCAAUCUAGACCAAAGCUAGAGCAUGUACGCAAAAUAAAAAGUCAGAAAAUCCUUCAAGGCCGCCAAAUCCGAACGGAUGGAGGGAAACAAUCUGAUCUCUAGAUUAGCCAUAGGUUAAUAUUUAAAUUCUUUAUUAACCUUUCUUUUUCUCCUUCUUUUUUUUUUUGGUUUAACUUUAUUAACCUUAGUUGAGGAGAAGACAGGUGUUAAAAAAUAGGGUGUGUGGUAGCAAAGGUCCCUGAACUUUACCUCAUGUUUAGUUUUCGUCCCUGAACUCUUAUAUUAGUUUCUCAUGUCCUCCAACUUAACUCCGUGUUGCACAAUUGGUCAUUCUGUCAAAUAUGUUAUAUUUUCGUCCCUGAACUCUUAUAUUAGUUUCUCGUGUCCUCCUGUCAAAUAUGUUAUAUUUUCUGUUAAAUUUAAGGGUAUAAUGGUCUUUUUAAGUUAUGAAUUCUAAGAUUCCCAAUAUGUGAAUUAUAUACCUUUCUAGAUUAAUUUUCCCGCCAAAAAAAAGCUUAUUAUGAUAUGCUUUUGCCCCCAAAAAAAAAGUCCAAUUGUGACAUGCAAUUUUCCUAUUUAAUCCAAUUGUUUAUCAUAUGAGUUAACAACGUAGUGUUGCCUUAAAGAGUCAUCUUUUAGUGAUGUAUAAACUAGUUGUUUAUCUUAUACAAUUUUUUGGCAUAACUCAAGAGUUAUCUAAGUUUAAUAAUAAUAAUAAUAAUAAUAAUAGAUUAAUACUAAAACAACAAAGUGUGCUAAAGAUCACCGAAAGUAUCAAUAACAUAACAACUUCAUCAAAAGUACCAACAUUACCAAAAUAAAAAUACCAGCCUUACCAAAAUACAAAGUUCACUACACAAAAUACGUACCGAUUCUACAACCACAUAAAAGAUGAUUUAUGCUACAAAAAGGAAGUUCCAAAAACAACAUCAGUGAUCCCAUUGAUCAUGCCCAAUUUUUAUCCCCAGCAUGAUUUCCGUUGUUUUUUUUCUUAAAAACGUGGUUGUGAUUAUGAUGUCCUUGCUCCAUUUCCUUUUGCAAUUGAUGAUGAGAUCUCUUUGUCUUUCUCAGUUGAAACCUAGACAUCAUAUGCAUCAUAUACAUUACGAAUCCUUCUAUAGUCACCAAUACAUCCCAAAUCAUUUUAGAAGCACACUUACUGAUUUUUGUGUUGCUUGUUUGCCCUUUCCUUUUGUUAUACCACAACCUUUUGGUUUCCCUAUCCCUGUAGAAGGGUUUGGCCCAUUGAUUUGAUGAAAGUGAUCACUAUAACCCUACACAAAGCAAAUAAAGUAAAAAUAUUAGAAAUAGUGCUUCACAAAGCAAAAGAAAUUAAAGAAGCAAUUGUAUAUACCUGAGCUCCCUCUUGGAUGUUAGAAGAGCUAUUUUCCCCUUCUUUUUUAUGACUUAACCUAUUAUGUCCUCAUUGGCCACAAAUUCCACACUUUACCUUUACAAAUAUUCUUUUUAGAUUUGCAGGAGGUGGAAUAUAAUCUGGUGGGAUGGGGUUUGGAGGGGGUGGAGCAGGUGCUUGAACCUCACCUACCUCUUUAGUUCUUGACAUUUUUGGCCUUCUAGGUUGCUUCUUGUAUGGAGGAGGGCUAAUUGCAGGCAAACCAAUUUUCUUCCACUGAUCCAUAGAUGGAACCGGGUGAACAAUGGGAUCAUAUGAAAUCAAGUAAGCCUCUUGCUUAUAGCAAUCAUGUGUAUAGUCACACACAUUUUCAUCCGUAGAAAAAAUGCAAGAAAUAGCAUGGGGGCAUGGGAUCCCACACAAAUCCCAUCUUCUGCAAGAGCAUGUUUUUUCUUUUAGAUCCACAACAAACUCAGCCCCAUACAUAUGUUGUACUAAGAACUUCUUGUCCCCAGCCAUUAUAGGAAUGCAUUGACUAGCUCCUAACUUGUUCUUCUCAAUGAUUUUGAAGAUCCUAGGUCCAAUCGGAUGCUUCCAAUGCCUAGCUGCAAUUCUUCUAUUAGCCAUCCUUAACAUGAUAUAUACCAUAAUUCUCUCAAGGCAUGUUAAUAUUGCCUUGUCUCUUGCAUCUAGAAUGCGAGAGUUAAACGAUUCACAUAGGUUAUUCAACAAAAUAUCACACUUGAAGUGCAAUGCAAAAUAAGCUCUACUCUAAUUUUGUGGAGGCCUUUUCUGAAUCCAAAUCCAAGCUUUUUCAUCCUGUUGUUUCAUCUUUUCCAUCUCUACAUCAAACCAUGGAAUAGUAUUGGAUGUUGCUAAGGCCCACAAUGUAUUCUUCAAUGCAAGUCCCGGGUGCGAUGCUUUAAAGUUGUUAUAUAGAUGUCUCCAACACAUUCUAUGCUCAGUUGUUGGAAGGACACUCUGAAUGGCAGGAAUGAGUCAUUUUUGCUUGUCACUUAUAAACACCCAAGCUGCCCCAUUCUUAAUAUUUAAAUCAGCUUUCAAAAGUUCAAGGAACCAAAUCCAUGAACUCUUAUUUUCAAUUUCCACUAUAGCAUAAGCAAUUGGAAACAUACCAUUAUUCCUAUCAACUCCAACAGCAGUUAAAAUUUGACCCGUGUAUGGUCCUUUCAAGUGGCAACCAUCCACACCAAUCACAGGUCUACACCCCUCCAAAAAACCUUUCUUACAAGCUUCUAAGCACACGUACAUUCUACGGAAAACUGGUUGAUCGCCCUCUAUCUUAUUGCUUAUAACCAUUGUGCUUCCUUUAUUAGCCACCUUUAGUUGUUCUGCAUAGUCCCAUAACCUAGCAUAUUGUUCUUUAUAGCUACCUUCAAUAAUCAGCUUGGACAACCUCUUUGCUCUGUAUAUUUGAUGCCUGCUAACAUUCAUACGGUACUGAUUUAAUACCUCCGACUUAAAUGCUCCGACAUUCCAGUGAGGAUUUUUCUUGAUCUUGUCAGCAAACUUUUCAACUAGCCACUUUGAAUUAGCAAACUUUAGCUUACCAACUCUCCCACAAUGAUGAUCUAAGCAAAGAGUCUUGAUUGCAAAAGUGGGCUCAUCUGAAUCUAUGAUGGAAGCAAAUAUAGUGAACGGGCACUUCGUUUUCUUAUUUCCAACACACUUUGCUCUCACCCUAAUUUUAUCAUCUUUUACAAAUUUGACUUCUCGUCCGUUGAUAAUAGCCCACUCCUUUAUAGCUUCUUUCACCUCUGCUUUAUUGGCGAAUUGCAUUCCCAAUCGAAAUUCUGGAUUUCUCAAAUCUGUGUCUCUCCCCCACUGUUUAAAACUCGGUAAUUUCCUUUUCCUCUUCUUAGAUAAUUUAUUAAAGUUUUGUUCACCUUCCUCUUCAUCACUACCAGAAUAAGGAAUAUCAAUGUCUUCACCAUCAGAUGAAAUCUCCCCUGUAGCUUCAUUAGGAAGAUGAAAAUCAAGAACUUCAUUUGGAUGAUUAACAUCAAACACUUCAUUUGGUGCAUCCACACCAUUUACCUCUUCAACAUUGAUUGGCUCUUCAUCGUCACUUACCCCAUAAUCACUGUCAACAAAUACUUCAUCCUCUUCUUCAUUUUCACCUUCUUUUUCAUUAUUUUCAUUAUCCUCUUCUGCUUCAUCUUCAUUAUAUUCCUGAAUAUUACCAUGUAUACCAACAGAUGCAGCUUCAUAUGUGUUGACCUUCUUUACUGAAUUGUCGGCAUUGGCUAGGCGAUCAAUAAAAGGCCAAUAUUGGUAACCCUUAAAUUCAUCAGUGCCACCAUUAUAGUUUUCAGAAUCCAAACUUGGCCAUACCUCAAAAGCUUGACUCCCAAUGGUGUUUAGAUCAGUUGGAUCAUGAUAAUACAAUUGAACAAUUCUAUUACCAGGAAUGCAAGCAAUUAGCCCUGGAAUAAAACUAUCAUCUUUCACCUCUAUCAAUGCACUUGCACCAAACUUACCAGGUUUCUUGUAGUACACUAACUUGUAACCUUCUGAGUUAUGUCAACAUUAUAGCCAAGUUCUACACCAAUCUUUUGUAAAUCCACCAAUGACAAAUAGUCAUCAACACAAUUGUCUACAUAACAUACCUUGCCACCUUUAUAAACUCCAUUUUCUACCAACCCAUAAUGGUUAAGUUCAAGAGUACAUAGCUCCAGACCACCUGCCAUAUAUAAUAUACAAUGUGAGGUUGAGCACUCACCAAAAUCAAAUUCUUACAAUAAAUACCCUCACCAAACUCCAAUAUAUGCAUAUUGGGUGUGGUGGACGCUGGAGCAAUGGUGAAAAAUAAAUAGUAAUAAGGCCAACACAUAAAUGCAUUUGACCAAAAAGACAGAGUACCACCAUACAUAUAAAGCCAAAGUGAAUAACAGAAUACAUAUUUAGACAAAAACAAUCCAAACGAAAUUCAUGAAAUAUAAAAUUAAACAAUGAAGGAAAGACUUACUGUAUUGUGGAUGCUCUCCAGACCACCGAAACGUUGUCGCCAUGUGAAUAAUUAAUCAUGAAAGUGCAUUCCCAGCCAAUAAUAGUGAAUUUCCUUUUCAAAUUUCUCAAACCCUAGAACUGAGCUCUCAAUCUCCUGUUGAACUCUUCCCCAAAACUUUUGAGUUCUCCAUCCUAUAGCACGUGAGAUUCCUUUGGGCCAACAAAAUGUCAUAUUUGCCCACCACAAAAAGGUCACGUGCAAGGCAUGUGAUCAUAUUUAACAGAAAAUGUAACAAACUUGACUGAAAUGACGAUUCGUGCAACACAAACUUAAGUUGGAGAACGAGAGAAACUAAUAUAAGAGUUGAGGGAUGAAAACUAAACUUAUAGUAUAGUUCAGGGACCUUUUCUAUUAUUUACCCUAAAAAAUAAAUAUGAUUAUUUACCGAAAUAUAAAAAAUUAUUUAUUGAACUGAACCAACCUUUCUCAAAAUCUCGGCCCAUCGGACCUGAACCCGCUUGCCCGCCCAUAUUUGACGGACUCGGCAUCAAAUUUGACCCAUAUUCAUAUUCUUCCAACUUCUCGCAAAUCGUAAUCGUCUCUCGCACUCACACAUAGGAUCACACAUCGAUCUCGCCAUGGUGUUCAUCACAUCCCCAAAUCACAAAACCCUAACCCUAAAUCUAAACCCUAAGACCACCACCCUCAAAACCUUAAAGCUCCAAAUCGAGCAAAAUUCUCACAUACCCAUUUCUCAGCAGCGCCUAUUCAUCUCCCAAAGCCUCCAGUUACUCACCCAAUCCGACUCCUCCCUCCUCUCCGACCUCGGAAUCCGACCCCUGUCAACCCUAACUCUUCACAUUCCCUUAUUCGGCGGCACCCAACCUCCCGCCGUCCCUAAACCCCGCCUCGAGUUCCUCAAUUCCAAGCCUCCCCCGAAUUAUGUCGCUGGGCUCGGCCGUGGUGCCACUGGCUUCACCACCAGGUCCGAUAUCGGGCCCGCACGUGCUGCGCCAGACCUGCCGGACAGGUCGGCCACCACAAUCGGCGGCGCUGCUGCUCCUGCUGCCCCGCCUGGGGUUGGCCGCGGACGCGGGAAGCCCGAGGAAGAGGAGGAGGACGAAGGGGAGGAUAAGGGGUACGAUGAGAAUCAGAAGUUUGAUGAAUUCGAAGGAAAUGAUGUUGGGUUGUUUGCAUCGGCGGAAUACGAUGAUGAGGACAAGGAGGCUGAUGCGGUGUGGGAAGCCAUUGAGCAAAGAAUGGACUCGAGGAGGAAGGACAGGAGAGAAGCUCGGUUGAAAGAAGAGAUUGAAAAGUACAGAGCUUCGAACCCGAAGAUCACGGAGCAAUUCGCGACUCUGAAGAGGAAGUUGUACACCGUGUCUGCUCAGGAAUGGGAGAGCAUACCUGAAAUCGGAGACUAUUCGUCGAGGAACAAGAAGAAGAGAUUCGAGAGCUUUGUGCCGGUGCCCGAUACACUUUUAGAGAAGGCAAGACAGGAAAAGGAGCAUGUUACGGCAUUGGACCCCAAGAGUAGGGGAGCUGGUGGUAUGGAGACUCCAUGGUCUCAAACUCCGGUUACGGAUUUGACUGCUGUAGGUGAGGGUAGAGGUACUGUUUUGUCAUUAAAAUUAGAUAGGCUUUCUGAUUCUGUUUCUGGAUUGACGGUUGUGGACCCGAAAGGGUACCUUACUGAUCUUAAGAGUAUGAAGAUUACUAGUGAUGCUGAGAUUUCGGAUAUUAAAAAGGCUAGGUUGUUGCUUAAGAGUGUUACACAGACGAAUCCAAAGCACCCACCUGGAUGGAUUGCGGCUGCCAGGCUGGAGGAGGUGGCUGGGAAGAUUCAGGCAGCUAGACAAUUGAUUCAGAAAGGGUGUGAGGAAUGUCCUAAGAGUGAGGAUGUGUGGUUAGAGGCAUGUAGGCUUUCAAGCCCUGAUGAAGCUAAGGCCGUGAUUUCUAAGGGAGUGAAGUCGAUUCCCAAUUCGGUGAAGUUGUGGAUGCAGGCUGCGAAAUUGGAGCGUGACGAUUUGAAUAGGAGCAGGGUAUUGAGGAAAGGUUUGGAACACAUUCCCGAUUCUGUUAGGUUAUGGAAGGCGGUGGUGGAGCUUGCCAAUGAGGAGGAUGCGAGACUUUUGCUUCAUAGGGCUGUGGAGUGUUGUCCCUUGCACAUUGAGUUAUGGCUUGCACUUGCAAGAUUGGAAACUUAUGAGAAUGCAAGGAAGGUCCUUAAUAGGGCAAGAGAGAAGCUAUCAAAAGAGCCUGCCAUUUGGAUCACAGCAGCGAAGUUGGAGGAAGCUAAUGGGAACACAGCCAUGGUUGGGAAGAUUAUUGAAAGGGGUAUAAGGGCUUUGCAAAGAGAAGGGUUGGCGAUUGAUAGAGAGGCAUGGAUGAAGGAGGCUGAAGCUGCUGAACGUGCAGGGUCUGUUGCAACUUGCCAAGCAAUCAUUCGGAACACGAUUGGGAUUGGUGUGGAGGAAGAGGAUAGGAAGAGGACAUGGGUUGCUGAUGCUGAGGAAUGCAAGAAAAGGGGUUCCAUUGAAACAGCCAGGGCCAUUUAUGCACACGCACUUACUGUCUUUUUAACCAAGAAGAGCAUAUGGCUCAAAGCUGCACAGCUUGAAAAGAGCCAUGGUACUAGGGAAUCUCUUGAUGCUUUACUUCGUAAAGCGGUGACUUACCGACCACAGGCUGAAGUCUUGUGGCUUAUGGGAGCUAAGGAGAAGUGGCUUGCUGGGGAUGUGCCUGCUGCUCGUGCCAUCCUUCAAGAAGCUUAUGCUGCCAUUCCUAAUUCUGAGGAAAUUUGGCUUGCUGCGUUUAAACUUGAAUUUGAGAACCAUGAACCAGAGAGAGCCAGAAUGCUUCUUGCCAAAGCCCGAGAAAAGGGAGGUACUGAAAGAGUGUGGAUGAAAUCAGCAAUUGUUGAGAGAGAAUUAGGGAACAUUAAUGAGGAGAGGAAGUUGCUUGAUGAUGGGUUGAAGCGCUUCCCUUCCUUCUAUAAAUUAUGGUUGAUGCUUGGACAGCUAGAGGAACGCCUUGGUCAUUUGGAAAAGGCCAAGGAGGCCUAUGAUUCAGGUCAGAAGCACUGCUCCAGUUCUAUUCCACUGUGGCUUUCUCUUGCUAAUCUUGAAGAGAAGAUGAGUGGGCUGAGUAAAGCUCGUGCAAUUCUGACGAUGGCCAGGAAGAAGAAUCCUCAGAACCCUGAAUUGUGGCUUGCUGCUGUUCGAGCUGAAUUAAGGCAUGGAAAUAAGAAGGAAGCUGAUAUCUUGAUGGCAAAGGCUUUGCAGGAGUGUCCCAAUAGUGGUAUCUUGUGGGCUGCGUCUAUUGAGAUGGUACCCCGUCCGCAACGGAAGACAAAGAGUAUGGAUGCCCUCAAGAAAUGUGAUCAUGAUCCCCAUGUCAUUGCUGCUGUGUCUAAGUUAUUUUGGCAUGACAGGAAGGUUGACAAAGCUAGGACUUGGCUUAACAGGGCAGUGACACUAGCGCCAGAUAUUGGGGAUUUCUGGGCUUUGUACUACAAAUUUGAACUUCAACAUGGGACCGAGGAGAACCAGAAAGAUGUACUUAAAAGAUGCAUAGCUGCAGAACCAAAGCAUGGUGAAAAAUGGCAACCUAUUUCAAAGGCCGUGGAGAACUCCCACCAACCAACCGAAGCUAUCUUGAAGAAAGUGGUGGUUGCUCUUGGGAAGGAAGAGAGUGCAGCUGAAAAUAAUAAACAGUAGUUCAAGCUGUUCUGUUCCAGGUUCUGCUUUUAAAAACUUGUAAUACAGAAAAAAAUUCGCUGAUGAAGCAUACAUCGCAUUAAUUGUAGCUUUGCUCCUUUUAUUGAUUUGUAUAGCAUGAAUUCUCAGUAUCAACAAUGAUGAAGCAUGUCUUUAUUUAUUGUUCGAAUUACGAUGGCAUGUGUCAACUUAUCUUUAUUUAUUGUUUGAAUUACGAUGGUUGUGUGUUUUUCUUCCUUUGUAUGGUCAGGUUCUGUUGUAGAUUCUUUUGAAAUCUGAGUGUGCUUGAUGCUCUAGCUUUCUCAAACACUUUCCUUGUUUCAAUUCACGUAUUGUAGGUUGUGUUGCAGUUUUUGUUAUGACUACUGCAGCUCACAUGGUUACCCCUGUGAUUGUAUCCAAUGGUGUCAGGCUGUGUUUUGUCUUAUCGUCAUUUUCCCUUCUUUUGCUAGUUUAUCUUGAAUCUUCUUGUGAAUUGAUUGAGUUAAACCUUGUAAUCCAAGAUUCAGUUAAUACUCUGCUUCUUAGGUUCCCUACCAGAAUUUUGCAUGCGAAUUGAACACUUGCUUGUAAGAAUGUAUUUCUUGUAUUAGAUCACCUUGUUAUUUAACCUGGAUAUGGCAAUGAAAUGAAUGACUAUAUCUAGUGCUACUUUUCUUUCUGUAUUACUGCCGUGGCAAUCAACAGGAGCUUCUUCUGUUGUAACGGGAAAUAACGGUCUUAGAUUUACUGAGGUCUGCUAUCAUAUCAGAAGCAUUUUCUAUCAUGUUUCUCUUUGUUUGGUUUUUGGUUUGAGUUUAUAGAAGCGAGUUCCCUGUUCCUUUUGGUAUGGAUUUUCUUAAAGGUUAAACUAAGGCCUUCCAUUGUGUUUUGCAGGUCGCUCCUCCCCCUUUCCCCCCUCGCACACGAUUCAGAUGUAUGCCAAGUGAACUAUAUGGUACCAAAUUUCUCAUUCCAAAUCAUGACAUGUCUGUAGGUACUUUCUUAAGUUAAUGAAAUCUGGUUGGCUUUUAUGUGAGUCGGGAUCCAACAGACAAUCUCAUCGGCAGCCAACUCAGUCUCAUUGUCUGUCUUUCCAAUACAAUUCUUCCGAUCAGACUAGGGGGUAUCGAAGAGGACUGGAACGAGUAGGAGUAUGUACAAUGAAAGAGGCCUCAUCGACCUGUGAGAUUGAUGAUUGACAACGUGCAUUUGUACGAGUAUGAAGGGCUUCAAGCAAUAGGUUAGUGAUAUUUUAAACAUUGUCGAGGAAACGAAGAUUUCUUGGGAAUUUUUCUGAGGUCAAAGGAAAUGGAGAAGAACAAUUUUUUCCCUCUGCAAAUCUGUUUAUACCCGAUCUUGCACUAUCGGUAAAUAUGUUUGGAGUCGUUUGAUUAAAAGAGUAUAUUAUUGGCUGGGCCUGAAACUCCGAUUUCGGCCGAGUUGGUAGAAGUUAGUCUAGAAAGGAGGCUGUGAGUCUCGGCCCAGUAAUGCAUUGGUGGUGGCGCGACCGAGUCUUAGACGAGGUAGGAUUGGUCAAGGAUCAGGAUUGGCUUCUGCCGAGAUUUGAAUGAGCUGCUAAAGGAUCAUGAUUGGUUUCUAACUAAAAUGUGAAUCAGUCGCAUANNNNNNNNNNNNNNNNNNNNNNNNNNNNNNNNNNNNNNNNNNNNNNNNNNNNNNNNNNNNNNNNNNNNNNNNNNNNNNNNNNNNNNNNNNNNNNNNNNNNNNNNNNNNNNNNNNNNNNNNNNNNNNNNNNNNNNNNNNNNNNNNNNNNNNNNNNNNNNNNNNNNNNNNNNNNNNNNNNNNNNNNNNNNNNNNNNNNNNNNNNNNNNNNNNNNNNNNNNNNNNNNNNNNNNNNNNNNNNNNNNNNNNNNNNNNNNNNNNNNNNNNNNNNNNNNNNNNNNNNNNNNNNNNNNNNNNNNNNNNNNNNNNNNNNNNNNNNNNNNNNNNNNNNNNNNNNNNNNNNNNNNNNNNNNNNNNNNNNNNNNNNNNNNNNNNNNNNNNNNNNNNNNNNNNNNNNNNNNNNNNNNNNNNNNNNNNNNNNNNNNNNNNNNNNNNNNNNNNNNNNNNNNNNNNNNNNNNNNNNNNNNNNNNNNNNNNNNNNNNNNNNNNNNNNNNNNNNNNNNCCUUAAGGGGGUUGUGGCUGCUAACAAAGAGGAUCGUCUGCGGAAAGCAAUGGAAGCUCAGGAAAUUAUCACUGAAAAGUCAAAACAAAUUGAAGCUUGGAGGGAUUCUUUGGAGACGGCUAUAAACUCAUUGGCGCAUGCUCCAUCUCCGUCGUCUUCCGUCCACCUCCCUCUCCAACUACGACAAGCUCAUGGCGGUCAACGUCCGCGGGAUGGCGGCGUGAGAGGGAACAUCAUGUGCACGGCGAGCGUGGCAUCGAGUGUUGGGGCAGGGCGUUCUUCACGGAGCUGCACCGACAGGGCCUCGCUCUUCCAUGGCCGCCCACGCAAUCCUCCGCAGCCACAAAGCCACCAUCUUCAUCCACCAGGCUCCUCCCUGCUCUCUCCAUCCCUUGCUGGGUAUAGCUGCUGCCUUCAUCUCCUCACUGCUCGAUAUGCUUGAAGUCGGGGAGGCAGCGUCAAAGACAUCGGCACCACCAAUGAUCUCGUCUGCGACAAGCUAGGUGCCUCGGCGAUAGCCUUGAAGCCUCGCUCCUCGCCGUGCAUUCUUUCGGUUCCAAACCUUCGUCCCCGUCAAACGCUGUCACUUCUGAAGGUUCCGACGGUGAUGGUGCCACCAAAGGCUCUGUCUCUUUCACUGCAGCUGCAACUUCACUUGACGAUUUAAAAUGUGACUUUGGGAGUUGGAUACUGUCUUCCUCCGCCAUAGCUGCUCCUUCUGCUCACCCUUCCCCUGCAAAUCGAAUUUCAAUAAAAAAAAAAGAAAAAAGAAAAAUGAUGCAUGUCGAUCCAGUAGUGCAGCGGACGGCGAGAGUGCAACGGAGCGUAGCAAGGCAGCCUCCUUUGCAGUAGACAGCCACAACCUCACUGGUGCAUGCUCCAUCUCCGUCGUCUUCAUUCUUGCUCCGCUUCCUGCAAAUUCCCCAGCCCAUCAUCAAAAUUUAUACAAAAAAAAAAUAUAAUAAAAAAAAAAAGGUGGUGGAGCAAAGCAAAGUGGUGCUGUCACCACGUGAAAAAAAAAGAAGGGGGUGCAUCAGGCACCAUGUGCAAAGAAAAAAAUAAAAAAAUAAAAAAAAAGAAUAAAAGAAUAAAAGAAUAAAAGAAUAUAUAUAUAUAUAUAUAUAUAUAUAAAUAAUUAUAAAGUGUUUUGGGUGCCUGGAUCAACACCAUUUUGAAAAAAAAAUAUGUAUAUAAAAAUGUUUAAACUUUGGUGUGUCUGGCACCAUGUGAAAAAGUGGGGUGCACCAUGAUUAAAAGCAAUAUAUAUAUAUAUAUAUAUAUAUAUAUAUAUAUAAAUAAAAUAAUAAAAUAAUUUAAAAUUAAAAAAUGUUUUAUCUUUGGUGCGUCUGGCACCAUGAUUAAAAAAAAAUUCAUUUUAUUUAUUUUUUCUGGAAAUUUUACAUAAUUUUGCAUUAUACAUACAUAUGAAGAAAAAAAAAGUCAAAUCAAAAUUACAAGAGGGGAUCUUCAAGGACGAUUAGGUGGCGCCUCACAACUCGGUGGAGCUCUAGGAAGAGUAGGUGCCGGAGGUUGACUGUUUGAAGCCUCAGCAGUCGGCAGAGCCUCAGAAGACGAAGGCAAAUGCUGCUGGAACAAACCCACAAACCUCUGAUGAUCAAGUAAAAUCUGACCCAUCAGAUUCCUGCAUUUGGUCAAUCUUCCUCUUCAUGUUUGUCGCAUAGCUAUGUGCGAGCUUAUGCAACUGUUUGUUCUCCUGCUUGAGCCCUCUAAUCUCCUGUUUGAGACUCAUCACUUCAGCCGCCAAUGAUUCAACUUGACGGGUUCGAGCAAAUAGGCGUUGGGCCAUAUUAGACACAGAACCUGCACACUGCACACUGAGAGCCAGAGAAUCCUUAACAGCCAACUCAUCAGACCGUUUGGAAAGUAGUCUGUUAUCUCUGGGAGUGACAAGGUUCCGGGCCACCACCGCAGCGGUCAUAUCAUUCUUCACCACUGAAUCCCCAACGGUAAGAGGACCAGUGGGGGAAAUGAAGGAUGGGCGCCAUAUGUUGUCUGGAGAAGAAGGGACUGCCUCUUUACCAAGAUUCAAGUCAAAACGACGAUCGGAGGGGCCAAACAUUUUCAAAGGUGUUAAAGAAAGAAGAGGUCGGACAAAUCGAGAAUCUUAGAAGUGUAAGAAGGUACAAGCAAAAAAUUCAAGUGUGCUUUGAAAUGAACUGCCUGCCUCUAUAAAAAAAAUCAGCACUCGACGGGAUUUCAGAGAUCGAAGAGGCGAGCUCAGAAUUCGAAGAGGCCAUUCAAAAAAUCGAAGAGGCAAGCUCAGAAAUCGGAGAAGCAUCUUGCUUUUCCAGACGCGUCGGCACCCGUCACACGCAAACUCAGCUUUGCGGAAAUCACGGGUAAUUUGUCGAAGCGCCGAUCCCAGAUAUCGAAGAGGCGCCAGUCUUUUUCAGCCGCGUCAUCACCUUGUCAUAUGCACACUCAACUUUGCGCAAAUCACGGGCAAUUUGUCGAAGAUUUUCGGUGAAGGAGAAAAGCACGUGAAAGUUUACUGUUCAAUCACGCGUUAGUUGCCGACACAAGUGAAAGAAUAGUACAUCUACAGGUAUUAAGGGACCUCCUAUAACUGUCCACCUUCACCUUCCAUGGCAAGGCAGACAUACAGAACCUUUCUUCAUCUCCGAGAAUGCCUUCCCAACGAAGCCUCUCGAGUCACUUAGUGUUCCUUAUUCCUUGGGGUACCUCUGUAAGCCAAUAACUUCAAAGCAAAAGUAUCUCAUAUCACCAGGGUAGAAAGCAAGAGUAUCUCAUAUCAUGCGUUCUCCCUGUCGUUUCCUUUGUCCUUGCUCCUACCUACAAAGACAAGGAUAAAGAAAACAAUAUGCCGGAAACUUCCACUCAAACUCGGGUAAGGGAACCGACUGCUUGGAACCCUUCCCUGAUUGCCUGCCUAGCACUGCUCUCGAGUACUCGUCUCCCACUGCUGCUGUACUUCCAUAGAAGCUGUCACAUCUGCCUGGAGAACAGAUAAGGCAAGUGAAAAUGAUACCUUGCAGCAUGUGGAGACAACGUGCUGAAGAAACAAGCAGAGAAGAAUGCGGCAUGCACAGUCAACUCAGCAGAAGGAGUCCGAACUGAGGAACUCGAGAGAAGAUGUCGUAUCUGCCUGAGAACAUAUAAAGGAAAUGAAAAUGAUACCUUGAAGCAUGUGGAGACAAGUGCAACCAAGCACGUGCUGAUUCAUCCGCUACUUCGUUAAAAUCAAAAGUAUCUCAUAUCAUCAUGGUGCAAUCACUUUGGACGGUGAACUCGUUUUGACCCUCAAAUUCUUGGGUCGACUUACUAGGCGUUGUGGGCUGCACGUGCCGAUUCACCACCCUUGAAUCAAAACCUUAAAGAUCAAGUCACCAACUGGAAGAAUAACCCGUCAAUCUUGAAGAUCAUACCGUUGACCAAACUGCUUUGGUGUGAAUUAGAAAGAUUGAACAAAGCAACAAGUCGUCACCUUCACCUCGUGCCCGCUUGCCAUGUGUUCAAGUCAACCUUCAAGAAUCAAGCCCCAACGGCCCUUGAAGAAGCUUCCAGCCAAAUUCAAAAUCAAGCCUCGACGGCCCUGGAAGAAAUCACAAGUCCGAUUCAAGAUCAAGUGUCUACCACUCUUGAAUCAAAACCUAGUUCAAGAAUAAGCUGUGGAAAAUCAACAAUUGGAGGAAUCCAGAAAAUCCUCCAACCCAGUUCAAGAUCAAAGCUGUGGAAAGUCAACAAGCGCAACAAAAUACGUGCCGAUUCACCCACCACUAAAGCCAAAGAUCAUCUACCACAUGAAGCUCCUUGUGGCCCAAUUUCAACCUUCAAGAUCAAGCUCGAUGGCCCUUGAAGAAAUUUCAAACGAAAGUUCAAGAACAAGCCUCAACGGCCCUUGAAGAAAUCUCAAGCCCAAUUCAAGAUCAAGCCUCAACGGCCCUUGAAGAAAUCUCCAGCGCCACACUGCGAGAGAUUAGAGGCCGGCACGACGACGGCCGGGAGAGUCCCCAGCAAUACGUAAAGAGCAGAGGGAGGGGAGCAUUCAAAGACGCAGGCUACCUACAAGCGUCGGAGGUCACGAUACUAUGAGUAAAUCAGAAGUGUGAACUGGUAGCACUUCAAGAUAGGGGGAGUAAUUGAUUGUAAUACUAGCGGAAAUUUCGGUAAAGAUAUAAUGUAUGAUCUGCGCACAUCGCGGAAAUACUCGAUAGAUGAGGAAAAGGAGAGGUAGCUCGAUAGCGGGGCGAUAAGACCAUUGAAGGUCAAGAAUGGACUCGAGAGGAAGGACAGGGAGAGAAGCCUCGGUUGAAUAAGAAGAGGAACUUAGAAAAGUAAACAUUGUACUUCCAGUAAGACGUCCCGGAGAGAUCAACUCAGACAAAAAAAUAUCACUUGAAGAUGCAUUGCUGAAAAAGGAGAUGCUCUGUAAUCAAUCACGGAGUCACGUGUGUUCCUAACACACCUGGCAGAAAUAACGGGCUUAUAAUGUCUCAUAGCUCGGAAUAAUAUAUCAUGGUAGCGACAUAUUUAGCGGAUCAGAGUAUUGGCUACUAAAGAGAAAGAGAUUCGAGAGACAGCUCGAAGUUAUAUGAUGUGGCGGGGGAAUACGCUCUGCAGGCUCCGAGAAACUCCUAGCACUUAUUAAGACACAGGCAAGACAGUGAAAAGGACGCCGAGCUGUCUCCGCAAGCAUCAGAAUUUGCCCGAGAACAAUGAAAGCCGUCCUCUCCAUCCCUCCCCCGUUCACCCCCCCAACGAUUACUUUGCUCCAAGAUCAAGCUCCCUGGAGCAGGGAACACCAUAUAAUAGGAUCAACAAUCCCACUCCCCACCUUCAAGAUCACAGCCCCGAGCGGCCCUUGAAGAAAGCCAGUAGAGUAGGUCGAGGUGGGUCUAUUGGAGACUCAUGCAGUCCUGUUCAACCUUACCGGUUACGGAAUUUGAUGCUGUAGGUAGGGUACCAUCGCAGAUACGGAUUAAGCCCAUACGGUCCUCUGUCAUUAAAAUUUUACAAGCAUACGCAUCAACUCAACCAUUCUGCAACGUUCCUCGAGAUUCUGGAUUGCGGUUCUUGUGGACCCGAAGGGUACUUACUCGAGAAAUCCAAGAAGACUCUUGAAAGAUACUAGCCUGAGAAGAUGAGAUUCCCCGUGAACAUCUACUCAGUUAACGUUGCCGCAUGAACGGAGAGCACCAAAAGGCCCUCGUAUCAGAUUUCGCUCGUUCAUAUAAGAAGUGUUACACAGACGAAUCCAAAGCACCCACCUGGAUGGAUUGCGGCUGCCAGGCUGGAGGAGGUGGCUGGGAAGAUUCAGGCAGCUAGACAAUUGAUUCAGAAAGGGUGUGAGGAAUGUCCUAAGAGUGAGGAUGUGUGGUUAGAGGCAUGUAGGCUUUCAAGCCCUGAUGAAGCUAAGGCCGUGAUUUCUAAGGGAGUGAAGUCGAUUCCCAAUUCGGUGAAGUUGUGGAUGCAGGCUGCGAAAUUGGAGCGUGACGAUUUGAAUAGGAGCAGGGUAUUGAGGAAAGGUUUGGAACACAUUCCCGAUUCUGUUAGGUUAUGGAAGGCGGUGGUGGAGCUUGCCAAUGAGGAGGAUGCGAGACUUUUGCUUCAUAGGGCUGUGGAGUGUUGUCCCUUGCACAUUGAGUAUUACGUGCUGAGCAAUCCUGAGAAUGUAGGAAAAUCUAUAAAUGAGUUAAGAGGAGAAAUGGAGAUAGAGCUCCUCUAAUCACGCGGCAAAAUGACGUCAAAGAAAUAACUAAAUUCAUUAGUGCUCUGUCUAUGUUGCACUAUCAGUCUAGUAUCGCUUAGAUGCUCUUUUGGUGUAUUGGAAGGCAAAUAUUUGGUAUACCGUAGUUCCAGAGCCCAGUUGUAAUGAGUGGUUGGUGGUAAAGAUCACAUAGAACUAGGGGUAUAUUUGAGGGUUUUUUAGCAUAGAGAUAGGGUAGCGCAUGUAGAGUAGGUACUAUAGGAUGAAGUGAAGGCUGAAGCUGUACUAGAAAACGUGACAGCAGGCGCUACAACGCUACACUAUGAGCUCAUGUACAUAUACAUUCAAUUAUUUCACGUGCUAUAUUAUAUAUAAAAAAUUGUAGUGAAUUGAGAUGGAGGAGAAGAAGAGGGCAUCUACAAAGUAGGAGCGAUUAGGAAGGUUUCUCGAUGUUUCAGAGAGAGGGAACAUCGAGACAAGAAAUAGGCCUAUGGGUUCCAGUUGAAACUAUUGCCAUGGUCGACAUUUAAAUCAAGCACACACCGCAACAAACAUUAUCUAAAAAGAUCUAAUCAAUGGAUCAAACCAAACUUGUGAAGAAGAACCCAUAUCAUUCUGACACUCAAAAAAACGUCUGCUAUUACAGAACAUCUCGGAAAAUAGAGACAUGGAGAAAAAAUAAAGGAAAAGAAGAAAUACUCUAUGAAUCGGACUAUUUAAAACUCGAGAUAAAAGCGGACGUUCACGAGUACAGACAACGUAGUGGGCUUAAGAGAAGAUUCUUGUGUAAGGCUUUAUGCGAGAGCUAAGGACGAAGUGCAGAGAAUAUAAGCACGUGAGGAGUAUUAAGUGGUCACUGCUGUUCAUAACGGGGCCAUAUGCAAGACUUUGCCAACAUAGAAAGAUCAUACAUAGUCGAAUCAACAAAUAAAUCACACGGAAUUAAACAUAGAAACUUGAAGAUUAAACAGAGAAGUAUAAGUAAAGCCGUGCAGAGAAAGUGAUACUUCAGUAAUAUGCAAAUAAGAAAAACCAUAAGAAAGACUAACAACACACGCCUUCAUAGUCCAAAGCCCGAGAAAAAGGGGCACGUUACUUACAGUUAGGUAAACGAUGUUGUCGCGCACUAGCAAAUAAGCCAAUUAUUAUGCAAGUUCUAAGACUUAAAAUUUUCGCGACCAAGAGAGUAAAACGAUUAAAUAGAGAAAGUAUAAUAUCGAUUAUGAUUAGAUGGGAAAAAAUGUAUGAAAUCGCUCGAGCUCAUAUAAUAUCUCAUAUACUGUCCACCCUCCACGUAGUUGUAGCACUUACCAAUAAUGGUUGAUGCUUGGACACUAGAGGAACGCCCUUGGUAUUUCAAAACGGCCAAGGAAAUAUCAGGUGAAGAUGAUAUAUUAUAUUAAUCCCCCACCCAUGUGGGUGCAAUAUCUAAUUUCGAUAUAGAAUUGACUUUGUCAUACGAAAGUGCAAUAUGAUGAUAGAUACUAUACAGAGAUAGUUUACCUCCACAGAUCCCUUUUUGUUUAAUUUCCGAAAUUUUCUCGGACCCACGUCACGCACUUAUUAGACAUCUUCCUGUCAAAAAAAGACCCUGAAUUCUGUGAUUGGUGCUUGCCUUACGCUUGUGUGCGGCCGCGAGAGUAUUAAGCAAAGGGCUCAUUGAGGAAUGGUAACUAAAGGAAGCUGGCAAUAAAUUCUCGAUUUACUUGGUCUUGGCACCGCGUGUCCCUUAGACAGGAUCUAUCACCAUAGUGGUGAUCUGUGGCUUGCGUCAUAUAAUGAGAUGGUCCAACCGUCCGCAACGAGACAGCACAAGAAAAGAGGGGGUAUAGGGUGGAGCUGCUACACAUCGAACGACAUGAUUGCAUGCGAUACUGCUACUGUACCUUAUUGCCUUCACCGGUCCGUGACCCGCACCGUCUAAUAUAUUCUCAGGUCUGACAGACCGAAAAGUUGACGGACAAACGCUAGGGUGACUUGGCGUUUAACCAGGUUGGGCACUGCACCCGCACUAGCGCGCCCAUCAUAUCGGGUUGUGUUUCUGAAGAUAGAGAUACACCUAAGACUAAAUCCCAUAGGAUACGGUCAAUCACUCAAUCCUAGAGGAAUGAAACCAGAGACGACUCUCAUAGUUUUGAAAACUUCGCGAGCUAUACGCAGACGAGCCAGUAAAGCAGCGGCUGACCAAAAUGACGAACGCCUCAUUUCGUCAUAGAGGCUACCGGUGGUAAGGAAAUGAUGACGCAAUCCAAAACCAACGAUAGCUAAAUCGGUCUGAACAGAAACACGAAUCGCUGCUCGGUAUGUCCGCUUGAGUAGAAGUAGGAGUGCAGACUGUAUAAUAUAUAUAAGAUAGAUCCAUAAUGCCAGUUCUCGCACAUAUCCUCAAGGAGUACAUAGCAUUUUUGUAAGUCCUGUUUUAAAAAUGCUUCGUAAAAUACAUUAUUAUAUAAAAAUUUCGUCAUUGUUAUUGUGUAGCAAUUACUUUUGCAUUUUGAACGUAAGUUCUAAUGGACUCCACUUCUCAUCUAAUUAGCACAUUUGUAUAGAGCAGAUGAUUUCUUAGUAUAUCGAUGCAUGAUAAAGUAGCAGGACUUCUAAUGCAUUUUUCUCUGCGUAUAAAAUUACGAUGCAAUAGUAUAUAGUUCAACUGUAUAUCUUUGUCAGUUUAUCUUAUUAUGAUUGAGGGAUCGGUGAUCGAAUGAUCUUCUAUACACUCACUCGAUGCUCUGUAUGACGCGUUCAGGAAGUACAGCUGCUAUGGAUCCAGUAUAUCACUAUAUUGAAAAGGCUUUGUAGAGCUUUGUAAAAAUUGUCUCUCCUCUUAGCUGCACCAACAUCAUUUGUUUACCUUUGGCCUAUUAUCAAAAAUUGAUACAGCGAAGCGAUUAUAUGUAGGUUGUUUGUGGACUGCAGUUAUAUUGAGUGUUGUUCAUUGUGUACUAAAUUCGAUACCCUUUCACAUUGGUUAACGUUGGGUUCAUCACUUUCUCGCUUAAAGAUUGUUCAUUGGUGAGAGUUUAGAUCGCGUACCUUCGUAUCGAUGGUUCUGUUGUUAAUUGACCAUGGUCUUAAAUGCAUAUAUACUGCAUGUCUUCAUUUAAUUUAGCACUAAGUUUAUAACAGUUGAGACUCUUCUCACCAGUAACCUUGUUGAGUUAAACACAUUUUAGGUAAGAGAGCACAUGAUGCUUCAGUUGGAGUCACCUUACUUGAGCACUUCUUAGGUUCCCUAACCAAGCACCGAGCUCUUCGGCCCAUGCGAGCGCACGUGAGCCUCUAUGUCUCUAAGCACAAUAUGUAUCUUACUAUGAUAAUGAGAGCAACGCAUUGAAUAUUCCCUUUAUUCCUGAUAUAAGAAGGGAGUAACACUACCUCAACAUCUAGAUGCUUUAGCACUUGUUAGCUAUUUCUGUAUUAACGCCGUAGAACAUCAGACCAACUAGAAUUCACAUUUCUUGUCAUGUUUUGUGAGACGAGCAGAAUCAACGGUCUUACAGAGUUUAUUUACUCUGAGGUAUCAGCAAAAUCGAGUGAACUCAGCCACAGUCCACUACUCUAACUAUACAUCUGGUAACAGUCUUUGUUUGUAGCCAUUUAUCAGAGGUGUCAUAAUGUUAAUAUCAAGAAGGAGCUACACGCAAUGGCUUCCCAUACUUUGGUACUGAGAGCAUUUUCUUUGAAAGGUUGUCUAGAUAUAUAUGAGAGCCUUCGAGUUGGUGAAUUUUUUUGUCAAGGUACGUGCAUCGCCUCCCCACUCGCCCCCCUUCGACAUCACGAUUCAGAUGUAUGCCAAGUGAAAUCGAGCAUAUAAUGGUGAAUAGUUACUAAUAUAAACUCAUUUCCAAAUCAUGACAUCUGGCUCCUGUCAAGGUAACAAUUGCACUAAAUAGAAAUUUUCGAUGUUGGUUCCCUUCUUAUGAGCCAAAAGACUAUCGACGUCGGGAGAUACUGCACAGGACAAUAGCGAGACUCGGCAGCUGUAAUCUAUCAGUCUCAUAGUCUGUCUUUCAAUAAAUAAUUUAGGGCCAAUUGCUCUUAUUGUAUAAGACCCUCGGUAUGAAAAGUAUCCGAAAGAGCGGACUGACUGAUAAGUAUGAAAGUUAUUGUAUAUACAAUAUAGAAAGAGAGGCGCGUCAAAUAUGUAGCUCUAGAGAGAUGAUAUGGGAUGAUUAGAGUAGAGAGCCACUGUAGCUAUAUAUUGUAACGAGAUAGGAGAGGCGUCCUCCAAGAGCACAUAGGUUUUAGCUAACUAUAUAACAUUAGAGUCCCUGACGGUACAUCUACCGAAAGCAUAUUCUAGUCUGGCCAAACUACUCUCUUUCUGAGGUCAAAGAAAUUACAUCUACCAAUUAGAAAUCAAUUUACAAUCUUCAGUUUGCAAGCUCUGGGAUUCUAGUACCCGAAUAUCUUCGCUCAACAUAAAUCUUGAGAGAGGUAUGGUUGUAGAGCAGCUACGUCGAUAUAUGAUUAAAUAGAGUAGAGCUUUUAUUUAACUAGGUUCUUGCAGAUUCCACAGAUCGGGACUUGUUGGUUACGUGGAUACUCCACAGCGAGUAAUUUCGCGCUUGGAGUGUGUAUAGAUAGUUAAAGUCAAACAAGAGAUAGAUUGACCUAAGUUUGAUGGUUACACCUCAUCGAGCCAGUAAUAAUUAAGCAAGUUGCCGUAUGUAUAUUUAAUAGGCGCGACACACGCACACACAUUAAAGAAGAGAAGUCGCGUAUAAUAAGCGAAUGGAAGUAAGAUUGGACAUUAAUCGAGGAUGAAAUCUGUGUGGACUUCUGCGAUGAUGAAAAAUAGAUGUUCCGAUCUUCGUAGCGCUGCUAGUAAGGAUACGACUGAAUUGGUUUCUAUUGAAUGAGAUGUGAAUAGAAAAUCGCAUAAUAUGAAAAGGAGAACGAGUUAUACCGGAGAAGUUCCUGAUAGCUAAAACUAUGAGUCGGAAGAAGGUAGAUCAAGAGAUAUGCGGUCAAAGCUCAAACAUUACUAAGCGAGAGAUAAUUCGUGAGUCAUAUCCCUGUUCUUCGCGAGUAUUCGUAACCAUUUCCUCGUUAUUAAGACUAUCUUACUACUUAACAGAGAGAAGUACAUCGUGUACCAUAUCUUAUGGAUCAAAAUCAUAAAGAGAAAAAAUUAAGAUACAUGUGUGCUGAAUACAUUACGACUCAAUCAAUCGGUACAUAACACUCUCUCACGAUUAUUUUAAGAAUAAUAUUAAACUUUUGCUCACCGAUCGUGCAGCGCUAAGAGCACAGUCACAGGAUUAGGUAAUCAAGUUUUUGAGCCUUCAACCACAAUAUAUAUUGAGCACUCUGGACAGUCUCACCAUGCACAGACUAUUUAUCAAUGAUGAGUUGGUUACUAUAAACUAAGAGAAUUACAGAAGGCAACCGGCAAAUGUGACGUUUGGUCAAACAACACUAGAGUCGUAAAAUCGGCUUGGCUAAGGAGUUUUGACAGUUUGGUUAAAUAGUAGGUUCUCUUUUUUCAACUAGUUAUUGACUCAAGUCUCUGCCGGCGAUUCUUCAUGGAACAAGGUCAUUUCAUCAAUUUUCUUGGUGAAGUGAGCUAUUACCAAGUUACAUUUAUGUCCAAUACUUAGACGGUGGAAUCAUUUUUGGAUUUCACAGAAAAAUCAUAACCUUCUUUUAGGUUUUAGAACUAAGGCCAAGAGUGUUUCUUUCUCGGGCAAAAUUGCCUCAUUCAAAAGUUAGAAGUGCAUUAUAUCACACGAUCAUAUUUAGAAGUACUCACUCGAACUCGGUAGCAAAUUGGCAAGGCCAUAAUCAGUAGAAGAACGUAGUUAGCUCAUAAGCAAAGUCUAAAAUAUCGAUAUUAUCUUAAUAUUUCUAUCGAAAUUUCCGUAUUUUUGGACUACCGAUAUCAUCGAUAUUUUAGACCUUGAUAGGAACAGUAUGUGGUACUAAGUCACUCAUGUAUCUUACCAUGCAAUGUAUAAAGUGUAAAAAAUUGUACUAAUUUAUUAUAUAUAAGUAAUUAUGGUGUGUUUAAACUUAUUUCAUUAAUUAUUACAUAUUUUCUACACUCACAAUAUUUGUCAGCUCACUAUAUAACCAAUUUAAAUCAGUUAAAUCCAUCAUGCAAUGCAUUUCCUUCCAAAUUUUUGUGAUAAAUUAAUAGAUAAUUAACUAAAUAAACAUCCUGCAAAGUUUCAAUAAAAAUUUCCAAGUUUUUCUUACAAUUUCCAUGGUUUUUACUCAAUUUUUAUCGAUAUCGAUAAUAUCUCGAUAUUUCCAUCGAAAUUUCUGUGUUUUUGGAUUACCGAUAUUUCCGAUAUUAUCGAUAUUUUAUACCUUGCUCAUAAGUUACUUGGUCUGCGCAACACAGACUUUGUAAUUUUAGGGUCAACAUUUUGGAACGCCCAAUGGAACAUAAUUGCUAAAAAUUGCGAAGUUUAAAUGACGUUUCCAUAUUCUAGUUCAUCUGAUUGGACGAGAUCUAAGCAGAUCUAAGCUCAAUGGGAGAGACACAUUCAAAAGAGUGAGGAGAACAAAAGGGGAAGGAAAGUGAGGAAGACUCUUGAUGCACAUGAAGAGAUGAGAGCUUCCGUCACCUUCUAAGAACAAUAGAUAAAAAACAGACAGUGACCAUUUCAAUACAUGGUUACUUGAGAAGGGUUAGUUGAGAAACACUUUCCUUAUGUUCUUCCAUUAUUGUUUUUUUUUUUUGAACUCUUUGUUGGAAUUUUCAAGAGGGUUUUUGUCUUAAUUCAGUUCUUUCUCGAUGUUGAUAUUUCAGCUCAAACCUACUAGGUGAAAAUAAUUAGGAUCUUCCAAAAGAAUUUGGUGAAGUACUAAACUUUGGAAUAAAAAAGUUUUUGAUACACUCUCGGGUUACGCACACAAAUUACCUAAUCCAGCUUCUAGGGGUAAUGCUAAAACUGAAUUAGUUUAAAAUUUUCGUUUCCGUAGCAUUAUUCCCUAAUCCAAUUCAAAACUUUAGUUGAUCAAAUCACCUUCCAUGCGCGGCCGAUUAAAACUAAUCUCAAUUAACAACAUAAUCAUCAUUAUCUUGUAGCAGCCCUCCUCUGGUGGUGACAUAAUUAAAUUAAAAUAUUGGGGUUACGGCUGAAUGAAAGUGUUUGUUGGCUUCACCACUAUUUGAGAUAUUUUGAAUUCAUUUAUUAAUUUAAUAACGUCAACCUAAAACACUUGAUAAGUUCGAUUAGGGAAAUUGGCAUAUGGUUUGUAAUUAUAUCAUGUUCCUUAAUCCUUGUCGCUACUUGAGUGAUAUCAUGGGACGGCGACCGGUCCCACCUCGCUCAUCAUUCAGUCUUAUCACUCCUCUUAGCACGUUGAUCAAAACAAUUAAUGUCCAAAGUGUUCUUCUUUUCUAAAUUUUUUUUUAUUUUUAUGUAGGGAAUUCGCUACUAACUCAUUUAACUUCUUCCACAACUUUAUUCAAUCAUUUCUUAUUGUUUUUAUUAGAACAUUUUUAAAUGAGAUGUCAAAAAUUAUACACAAAUUGUUUUAACAAAGAUAUUUUUUUUGGUGUUCUAAAGAAAAUGUCAAAAUCUUACGAGAUUUGACAUUCUUUACUUUACUGCUAAAUUUGAAAGCAAUGUCAAAAUAUAUUUUGCUUACAUGAAUUGUCAUUCGAAUUACAAAUCCCUAAAAAGCCAUUUACAUGUUUUGAGAUAUGAUAUACAUCUUGGUCCUUAAAUCGUUCAUCAAGGAUUCAAUAAGAAGGUUCAACGACUAAAAAUUCUAGUGCGUAGGACAUUCCAGGACGUGUUAAAAUUUCAAUGGCUAAAAGCUGCAAGCGGAAAGUUACAAAUAUAUGAGAAACAAGUGAGUUGUGACGGUGAUUGGAUGACCACCGUGCAGCUGCUGACUUGGUCUUUUUGUUCAUUGUGCUUAGAAAUGGAGGAGAAAAGCCAAAAGUAGUUGUUUGUUUUGGGUAGAAAAAGGGUCUCUGCAACAUAAGUGUCACCCCGUCUUGUCCAGCAACUAAUUGAAAAAAAUCUGGGUGGAAAUUUUCUCAAAGUGCGUAAAAAAAAUCGUAAGAUAUUCACGUGAUUUGAACUUUACAUUUUGUCUUUCUUUCUAUAAAAAAAUUGACAUAAUAUAUUGACGUGAUCUAAUAGUGAUUGUUGAAAUAAGAGGAAAGGCAAAAAACAGAAGAGAGAAUCAUACUCCGUCUCGAUGAGUAACUGCCCAUAUUGCCAUUGGUUAUUUGGAGAAGAAGAAAAAUCAUACAUUAUAAAUAGUAUCAUAAACUGAAUUUUACGUCGUACUAUACAUACAAAAUUUUAAACUAGUGUUGAUAGAAGAUAAAUUAAUAAGGAACCGUUUGAUAAUCAUUUCAUUUUUUAUUUUUUAGUUUUAGCUUCAACUUAUUUGAAAUCUGAAAAUUGAAAUUUUGUUUGGUAAUUACCUUUAAUUUCAUUUUUCAAAAAAUGAAAACUAAAAACUAAAAAUGAGAUUAUUAUGAAACGCCCUAAACUAUCGCAAGAGGUAACUUCCCACAUCGUCCAGGGAUGAGGAUCAUGUAAGCCUUAUAUGUAUAUUCUCAUCUCUACCUAGCACGAGGCAUUUUGGAAGCUCACUGGCUUCGGAUUCCGUAGGAACUCCGAAGUUAAGUGAGUUCGGACGAGAGCAUUCUUAAGAUAGGUGAUCUACUGGGAAGUUCUCGUGUGAGUUCCCAGAAACAAAACCGUGAGGGCGUGACCGGGGCCCAAAGCGGAACAAUAUCGUGCUACGGCAUAGUUGAGCCUAGGAUGUGAUGGAGCCUGGGUCGGAAUGUGACACAAGAACCAUCAAUGUCUUGAUUCACAAUAUUAAUCGGCUCUCAUAUUUACUCUGCGAACCUAUCAUUCAUAGUCUUAAUUCAACUACAAUUUUACUCCUUUAUUUUAUUUUAUUUUGUUGAGGAAAAUCAUGAAUAAGCAGUAGAAAAGAAACUGAAGGCUCGCACACAAUCAUAAUGCAUAAAAGAGAGUACUAGUCUUUGUACAAACACAGCUACAAAUACAUAAUAUGACAAUAGAAAUAGAUGACCAACUCCAAAAUGUACAAAUAAUAUUGAUAAUUUGGCUUUUCCAUUCCAGGAGCUGAAAAACGAGAGCUCGUGAUGGUCGGACUGCUUGAGAAGGAGAUCACAAAACCGUCUCCCUCUACAGCGGUCAUGCCUUAAGAUAAAAACUGGAAACUAAAAACAUGCUCGUGAACAUUACACAGCAGUGACUUUUCCUAACUACACAUACUAUUAUUUACUUUACAAGACAUUGGCUAUAAUUCCACUUUCUGGCAACAAAAACUAAGGCAUGGCCCAACAAAAAGCAUGAACCAGAUUGUGCCACUGCUUAAAGGCCUGAAAAAACAAGCAGCCUUUGUGCAGCAGAUUGGCCUGAAAUUUGAAGCUUCAAGGAUCCCUUGUAAUAAAAACUCACAAGGCUUCUAGGAUCAUAGGUUGUUUUCCGAAACAUUGCAACCGGCUGUGAUGACAAAUUAGAGAGGGGGGAGGGAGAGGAGGGAGAGGAGGGAGAGGAGGGAGAAGGGGGAGGGAGAGGAUGGGGUGGUGGUGUGUGUGUGUGUGAUGACAAAUUAGAGAGGGGGGGAGGGAGAGGAGGGAGAGGAGAGAGAGGAG
rnacentral:lncRNA from 1 species